rnacentral:rRNA from 1 species
GCAGUCGCCACGGUAAUACCGAGGGUGCAAGCGUUAAUCGGAUUUACUGGGCGUAAAGGGCGCGUAGGUGGUUAUGUAAGUGAGAUGUGAAAUCCCCGGGCUCAACCUGGGAACUGCAUCUUAUACUGCGUAGCUGGAGUGCAGUAGAGGGUAGUGGAAUUUCCGGUGUAGCGGUGAAAUGCGUAGAUAUCGGAAGGAAUACCAGUGGCGAAGGCGGCUACCUGGACUGACACUGACGCUGAGGCGCGAAAGCGUGGGGAGCAAACAGGAUUAGAUACCCCCGUAGUCCCUGUCUCUUAUAC